AAUUCAUUUCGCUUGCAUUUCGUAGUAGCUACAUUUUCUGUCGUCUAGUUGUGGAGAAAACCGCUUGUUCCAUUAUUUCUUAAUUUUAUUUGCAAUCGUCCAUCUAAAUAAUAUAAAUUAUUGGAUUAAACUUCUUGUACAUUAUUGCAAGAGCUUAAAGUGCUAAAUAUCGAUAUUAGGUGAAGGCGAGACUUAAUUUACCGGAGAACACAUAUUCUGUGGAGCCUUCAAAGGUUGCAAAAGGCCUAAAGUUCGUCUAAUAAUCAAAUCAGCGUCCAAUCGCCAAUUAUGACCAAGAAAAUGAAGAUGAAGCGCGAAAAUAACGACGACGGCCCACACUCCGACAAGCGCAGUCGUCGCAAUGACGAUCAAGUUCGCAUUCUUAUCCCUAGUAAUAUUGCGGGCGCAGUCAUUGGCAAAGGUGGCCAGCAUAUCCAAAAAAUGCGCACUCAGUAUAAAGCCACUGUAUCUGUCGACGACUCUCAAGGCCCCGAACGUACCAUAUUGAUAUCAUCGGAUUUGGAGUCAACACUACAGAUUGUAGCCGAGAUGCUGAAAUACUUCGAAGAGCGCGAUGAUGAAGUUGAUGUACGAUUAUUGAUCCAUCAAAGUCUUGCUGGGUGUGUAAUCGGCAAAGGAGGCCAAAAGAUCAAGGAGAUACGAGAUAAAAUUGGAUGUCGUAUUUUGAAGGUUUUCUCGAAUGUUGCACCGCAAAGUACAGAUCGAGUGGUGCAAACUGUCGGCAAACAGUCCCAGGUGAUUGAUGCUAUACGUGAGGUCAUCUCGCUGACAAGAGAAACCCCCAUCAAGGGUCCAGUCCAUAAUUAUGAUCCAACCAAUUUUGAUCGUAUGUACGCCGACGAAUAUGGUGGUUACGGCUCUGGUGGUGGCGGCGGCAACGGUGGUGGUGGUGGUGGUGGCAACAAUCGCCAGUCGCGUGGUGGACGCGGUGGUGGCGGUGGCGGUGGUAAUGGUGGUGGUGGCGGCGGCGGCGGCGGCAAUUUUGGCAACGAUCGUGGUGGACGUAAUGAUCGUAGUCGCAGCGGCGGCCGGCGUGAUAAUCCAUUCAUAAAUCCAUGGGCUAACGAUGAUGGUUUCGGAGGCAAUAAUGGUGGUGGCAAUUUCGGCGGUGGUAACUUUGGAGGAGGUGGCGGUUUCGGUGGCGGUAAUUUCGGCGGCAACGGCGGUGGAUUUGGUGGAAAUAAUGUACCAUCUGGUAACUUCGGCGGCGGCGGCGGCGGUGGUGGUGGCGGUGGCUUCGGUCCUGGCAAUCAAGGCAACUUUGGUGGUGGCAACCCAGGUGGCGGUUUCGGUGGCAACCAAAUGAAUAGCGGUGGAAACUUUGGUGGCGGCGGCAUGAAUCAAGGCGGUGGGUUCGGUGGUCCAAACAAUAACAAUGGCAUGGGAUCUGGUGGUGGAGGUGGUAUGGGAUCAGGUGGCUCUGGAGGUUUCGGUCCAGGACCCAACAACAAUGGACCGAAUGGUGGUAAUUCCGGAAAUCUUCCGAAUGGUCACGAUCCUAAAAACAGCACGCAGGUUACCAUACCGAAAGAUUUGGCUGGUGCUAUAAUUGGCAAGGGAGGCGGCCGUAUUCGCCGUAUCCGUAAUGAGUCUGGUGCCUACAUUACUAUCGACGAACCGUUACCUGGUUCAACUGACCGUAUCAUCACCAUUUCCGGUAACCCUAAGCAAAUCCAAAUGGCCCAGUAUCUUUUACAACAGAGGUUGGUGUCGAACACAUCCUAAAAGUAUGAACAAGUUCUCUAACUCAUGAAAUUAUCGAAAAAACAAAACUCAUAUUCAUUAUAAUUCACAAAGAAAAUGUGCACGAGAACAACGGUCGGCGAAACUUCUAAGUCAUACAUCGCCAAGCUAUGGAUGUCAGAAUGCGUCCAUGUUUUUGACAAACAAAAAAUAUAUACGCAAAAAAUAUUACCUUUAAGACUUACAACCUCCUUAAAUUUCAUUAAUUCUACACUUAAUAUGAUUUUAUUCAGAAAUCUUCGUUUUUAAUUAAAUUAAAAGAACAAUUAACAAUUAAAAAGACCAAAUAAGCAAACUAUAAUAAGAGUUGAUUAAUUUUUUGUGUAAAUUCCCACCAUAUCUUGAUUAUUGUCAUACCAGCUAAGUUCUUAUAAAUUCCAAAUGAGUGUAAGAGGGAUCAUAAUACAUGCAUACAUACAUAUUUACAGUCCGAGCGCUUAGGAUAUCCUCUCGAUAUUGCAAAAAUGUGAUUUUAAUGUUUUCCACAUACAAUACUGAACAUUGCGUCCGAUCUGUUGAUGUUAUAGGUCUUGAAAAGUGAACUUGUGAAAUGUGUAUGCGCCCUUUUACAAUAGUCUCAUUGUAUUAAUCAAUUGUCGGAAAUUUAUUCUUUGACGACGUGCAAGACGUGACGAAAUGGAGAAAAAGUAUUUAAGAUUAAGUCUAUUGGAAGUGGAAAGUGUCACUAUUUCAUGAAGCAAGUUCCGUUAACAUCAGCGGGUUGGAUGAAACACCGUUACAGAAGUAAAUUUCUAGAAAGCUCUAAUGAAAAUAUUAAAAACACGUUUUUCUCUCUAAGGGGAGAUAGCCACACUGCUACGGACUGUGUAUGUAGAUGAUUAACCCAAAAUUUUGAUUUACAAAAACAAGUACUAUAAUACCAAAUAGAUUACAAACUAACUGCAUUAGUUGUAAGGUCUAUUAAAAUUGCAACUGAGAGUUCGCGUAGUUUUUAGCAGUUUCAUUUGUGGAAACUUGUGCAUACCAUACAACCAACAAUUUACUAACUAUAUUGUAAAAGAUGUAAUUAUUCAGACAUUACACAGAGAAUUACGUGGUCUGCUAUUUUUCUUCUCGCUAUUUAAAUAAGUAUAUAGAAUUCUUGUUCUAUACGCAUAAAGCGAACUUUGUAAGAUUUCAAAGUACAUAUAAUAAAGAUAUAAAUAUAAAAUAAA